GAUGAAGAACGUAGCGAAAUGCGAUAAGUAAUGUGAAUUGCAGAAUUCAGUGAAUCAUCGAAUCUUUGAACGCACAUUGCGCCCGCCAGUAUUCUGGCGGGCAUGCCUGUUCGAGCGUCAUUACAACCCUCAGGCCCCCGGGCCUGGCGUUGGGGAUCGGCGGAGCCCCCCGUGGGCACACGCCGUCCCCCAAAUACAGUGGCGGUCCCGCCGCAGCUUCCAUCGCGUAGUAGCUAACACCUCGCGACUGGAGAGCGGCGCGGCCACGCCGUAAAACACCCAACUCUUCUGAAGUUGACCUCGAAUCAGGUAGGAAUACCAGCUGAACUUAAGCAUAUCAAAAGCGGAGGA
rnacentral:misc_RNA from 1 species